UGGGGAAUUUUGGACAAUGGGCGCAAGCCUGAUCCAGCCAUGCCGCGUGCGGGAAGAAGGCCUUCGGGUUGUAAACCGCUUUUGUCAGGGAAGAAAUCUUCUGAGUUAAUACCUCGGGAGGAUGACGGUACCUGAAGAAUAAGCACCGGCUAACUACGUGCCAGCAGCCGCGGUAAUACGUAGGGUGCAAGCGUUAAUCGGAAUUACUGGGCGUAAAGCGUGCGCAGGCGGUUUUGUAAGACAGAGGUGAAAUCCCCGGGCUCAACCUGGGAACUGCCUUUGUGACUGCAAGGCUUGAGUGCGGCAGAGGGGGGAUGGAAUUCCGCGUGUAGCAGUGAAAUGCGUAGAUAUGCGGAGG
rnacentral:rRNA from 1 species